GGAUCCAGACUUUGAUUAUGGCUCAGGAUGAACGCUAGCUACAGGCUUAACACAUGCAAGUCGAGGGGCAGCGGGAUUGAAGCUUGCUUCAAUUGCCGGCGACCGGCGCACGGGUGAGUAACGCGUAUCCAACCUUCCGUACACUCAGGGAUAGCCUUUCGAAAGAAAGAUUAAUACCUGAUAGUAUCUUAAGCACACAUGUAAUUAAGAUUAAAGAUUUAUCGGUGUACGAUGGGAUGCGUUCCAUUAGGUAGUAGGCGGGGUAACGGCCCACCUAGCCAACGAUGGAUAGGGGUUCUGAGAGGAAGGUCCCCCACAUUGGAACUGAGACACGGUCCAAACUCCUACGGGAGGCAGCAGUGAGGAAUAUUGGUCAAUGGACGAGAGUCUGAACCAGCCAAGUAGCGUGAAGGAUGAAGGUCCUACGGAUUGUAGACUUCUUUUAUAAGGGAAUAAACCCUCCCACGUGUGGGAGCUUGUAUGUACCUUAUGAAUAAGCAUCGGCUAACUCCGUGCCAGCAGCCGCGGUAAUACGGAGGAUGCGAGCGUUAUCCGGAUUUAUUGGGUUUAAAGGGAGCGCAGACGGGUCGUUAAGUCAGCUGUGAAAGUUUGGGGCUCAACCUUAAAAUUGCAGUUGAUACUGGCGUCCUUGAGUGCGGUUGAGGUGUGCGGAAUUCGUGGUGUAGCGGUGAAAUGCUUAGAUAUCACGAAGAACUCCGAUUGCGAAGGCAGCACACUAAUCCGUAACUGACGUUCAUGCUCGAAAGUGUGGGUAUCAAACAGGAUUAGAUACCCUGGUAGUCCACACGGUAAACGAUGGAUACUCGCUGUUGGCGAUAUACUGUCAGCGGCUUAGCGAAAGCGUUAAGUAUCCCACCUGGGGAGUACGCC
rnacentral:rRNA from 1 species